rnacentral:tRNA from 1 species
AGGGGUUUAGGUUAAAUCAGACCAAGAGCCUUCAAAGCCCUAAGCAAGUAUAACCUUACUUAACCCCUG